rnacentral:rRNA from 1 species
GAUGAACGCUGGCGGCGUGCCUAAUACAUGCAAGUCGAGCGAACAGACGAGGAGCUUGCUCCUCUGACGUUAGCGGCGGACGGGUGAGUAACACGUGGAUAACCUACCUAUAAGACUGGGAUAACUUCGGGAAACCGGAGCUAAUACCGGAUAAUAUAUUGAACCGCAUGGUUCAAUAGUGAAAGACGGUUUUGCUGUCACUUAUAGAUUGAUCCGCGCCGCAUUAGCUAGUUGGUAAGGUAACGGCUUACCAAGGCAACGAUGCGUAGCCGACCUGAGAGGGUGAUCGGCCACACUGGAAGUGAGACAAGGUACAGACUCCUACGGGAGGCAGCAGUAGGGAAUCUUCCGCAAGGGGCGAAAGCUUGACGGAGAAAGGCCGCGUGAGGGAUGAAGGACUUCGGAUCGUAAAACUCUGUUAUUAGGGAAGAAAAAAUGUGUAAGUAACUAUGCACGUCUUGACGGUACCUAAUCAGAAAGCCACGGCUAACUACGUG